AUUGAACGCUGGCGGCAGGCCUAACACAUGCAAGUCGAACGGUAACAGGAAGAAGCUUGCUUCUUUGCUGACGAGUGGCGGACGGGUGAGUAAUGUCUGGGAAACUGCCUGAUGGAGGGGGAUAACUACUGGAAACGGUAGCUAAUACCGCAUAACGUCGCAAGACCAAAGAGGGGGACCUUCGGGCCUCUUGCCAUCGGAUGUGCCCAGAUGGGAUUAGCUAGUAGGUGGGGUAACGGCUCACCUAGGCGACGAUCCCUAGCUGGUCUGAGAGGAUGACCAGCCACACUGGAACUGAGACACGGUCCAGACUCCUACGGGAGGCAGCAGUGGGGAAUAUUGCACAAUGGGCGCAAGCCUGAUGCAGCCAUGCCGCGUGUAUGAAGAAGGCCUUCGGGUUGUAAAGUACUUGCAGCGGGGAGGAAGGGAGUAAAGUUAAUACCUUUGCUCAUUGACGUUACCCGCAGAAGAAGCACCGGCUAACUCCGUG
rnacentral:rRNA from 1 species